rnacentral:snRNA from 1 species
AUACCUUUGUCGGCUUUUUGGCUAAGAUCAAGUGUGUAUCUGUUCUUAUCAGUUUAAUGUCUAAUAUGUGGUUCUCCUCAUUAAAUUUAUUUUUUGUGGAUUUGUUUUUUGUGGGGAGAGAGCUCGCCAUGGUAGCUUGCUACCUGGCUUUCGAGUGUCACCCUAUCGUUGCACUAUUGAUUGGGUUUGGCACACCCCAA